rnacentral:rRNA from 1 species
CAUGCAAGUCGAGCGGUAAGGCCCUUCGGGGUACACGAGCGGCGAACGGGUGAGUAACACGUGGGUGAUCUGCCUCGCACUCUGGGAUAAGCCUGGGAAACUGGGUCUAAUACCGGAUAUGACCACGAAUCGCAUGGUUUGUGGUGGAAAGGUUUACUGGUGCGAGAUGGGCCCGCGGCCUAUCAGCUUGUUGGUGGGGUAACGGCCUACCAAGGCGACGACGGGUAGCCGGCCUGAGAGGGCGACCGGCCACACUGGGACUGAGACACGGCCCAGACUCCUACGGGAGGCAGCAGUGGGGAAUAUUGCACAAUGGGCGAAAGCCUGAUGCAGCGACGCCGCGUGAGGGAUGACGGCCUUCGGGUUGUAAACCUCUUUCGACAGGGACGAAGCGCAAGUGACGGUACCUGUAGAAGAAGCACCGGCCAACUACGUGCCAGCAGCCGCGGUAAUACGUAGGGUGCGAGCGUUGUCCGGAAUUACUGGGCGUAAAGAGCUUGUAGGCGGUCUGUCGCGUCGAUCGUGAAAACGUGCAGCUCAACUGCGCGCCUGCGGUCGAUACGGGCAGACUAGAGUACUUCAGGGGAGACUGGAAUUCCUGGUGUAGCGGUGAAAUGCGCAGAUAUCAGGAGGAACACCGGUGGCGAAGGCGGGUCUCUGGGAAGUAACUGACGCUGAGAAGCGAAAGCGUGGGUAGCGAACAGGAUUAGAUACCCUGGUAGUCCACGCCGUAAACGGUGGGUACUAGGUGUGGGUUUCCUUCCACGGGAUCCGUGCCGUAGCUAACGCAUUAAGUAC